rnacentral:rRNA from 1 species
UUGAUGGGGAGUACUAUACAUGCAGUCGAGCGAACAGACAAGGAGCUUGCUCCUUUGACGUUAGCGGCGGACGGGUGAGUAACACGUGGGUAACCUACCUAUAAGACUGGGAUAACUUCGGGAAACCGGAGCUAAUACCGGAUAAUAUUUCGAACCGCAUGGUUCGAUAGUGAAAGAUGGUUUUGCUAUCACUUAUAGAUGGACCCGCGCCGUAUUAGCUAGUUGGUAAGGUAACGGCUUACCAAGGCGACGAUACGUAGCCGACCUGAGAGGGUGAUCGGCCACACUGGAACUGAGACACGGUCCAGACUCCUACGGGAGGCAGCAGUAGGGAAUCUUCCGCAAUGGGCGAAAGCCUGACGGAGCAACGCCGCGUGAGUGAUGAAGGUCUUCGGAUCGUAAAACUCUGUUAUUAGGGAAGAACAUACGUGUAAGUAACUAUGCACGUCUUGACGGUACCUAAUCAGAAAGCCACGGCUAACUACGUGCCAGCAGCCGCGGUAAUACGUAGGUGGCAAGCGUUAUCCGGAAUUAUUGGGCGUAAAGCGCGCGUAGGCGGUUUUUUAAGUCUGAUGUGAAAGCCCACGGCUCAACCGUGGAGGGUCAUUGGAAACUGUAAAACUUGAGUGCAGAAGAGGAAAGUGGAAUUCCAUGUGUAGCGGUGAAAUGCGCAGAGAUAUGGAGGAACACCAGUGGCGAAGGCGACUUUCUGGUCUGUAACUGACGCUGAUGUGCGAAAGCGUGGGGAUCAAACAGGAUUAGAUACCCUGGUAGUCCACGCCGUAAACGAUGAGUGCUAAGUGUUAGGGGGUUUCCGCCCCUUAGUGCUGCAGCUAACGCAUUAAGCACUCCGCCUGGGGAGUACGACCGCAAGGGUUGAAACUCAAAGGAAUUGACGGGGACCCGCACAAGCGGUGGAGCAUGUGGUUUAAUUCGAAGCAACGCGAAGAACCUUACCAAAUCUGACAUCCUUUGACAACUCUAGAGAAAAGAGCCUUCCCUUCGGGGAAAAAGGACAGGUGGUGCAUGCUGUCGUCAGCUCGUGUCGUGAGAUGUUGGGUAAGUCCGCACGAGCGCAACCCUAGCUAGUGCAAUCAUAAGUUGGGCACUCUAGUGACUGCGGUGAACAACGAGGACGGUGGAUUGACGUCAAUCACUAUGGCCUUAUAGAUUGGCUAACGGUUCAAUGCAAUACAAGGACAUCGAGUCGCGAGUUCAGGCAAUCA